rnacentral:rRNA from 1 species
GACGAACGCUGGCGGCGUGCCUAAUACAUGCAAGUAGAACGCUGAAGGAGGAGCUUGCUCUUCUGGAUGAGUUGCGAACGGGUGAGUAACGCGUAGGUAACCUGCCUGGUAGCGGGGGAUAACUCUUGGAAACGAUAGCUAAUACCGCAUAAGAGUAGAUGUUGCAUGACAUUUGCUUAAAAGGUGCAAUUGCAUCACUACCAGAUGGACCUGCGUUGUAUUAGGUAGUUGGUGGGGUAACGGCUCAACAAGGCGACGAUACAUAGCCGACCUGGGAGGGUGAGCGGCCAAACUGGGAACGAGACACGGCCCAGACUCCUACGGGAGGCAGCAGGAGGGAAUCUUCGGCAAUGGACGGAAGUCUGACCGGGCAACGCCGCGGGAGGGAAGAAGGGUUUCGGAUCGUAAAGCUCCGUUGUAAGAGAAGAACGAGUGUGAGAGUGGAAAGUGCACACUGUGACGGUAUCUUACCAGAAAGGGACGGCUAACUACGUG